AUGGCGACGAAACAUUGUGCCUGGAUCGGAAUGACUGACAGGGAUGAAGAGGGGACGUGGAAGUGGGUGGAUGGGACUCCAGUCAACACAACGUACUGGGAGGCCGGCCAGCCUGACGACUGGUUUGGGAAGGAGGACUGCGGAGAAACUCGACUGUUGAUAAGAGAGGAAGAGUGGAACGAUGACGACUGUUCUGCUUCACACAUCUACAUCUGCGAACAAUAAAAUUACAAAGAAAUACUGACUAGAAUACCUAUUGUGUAUUAAUCCACAGCUGAAAAUAGUCCCCAGCAUACGUACACACCAUUCACUCCAGUUUUAGGGACUUUUGCUACAACAAUUCCAACUUUGUAUUUUUUUAAAAGAAAACCUCUGUUGUACUUAUUAAGAGAAAUAAUUUUAUCAUUUUAUUUCUUUUUGCUUUUGAACGGAGGUUAACCUAUUUGGUAGGCCAGUGACAUGUCAAUAACAGUAGCCCAGCCCUAAAGCAUACUUUUAUUAAUGGUCAACUCUUUAACUCUACUGCACUAAAUGAACAUGAUGCAGUAUUGAAGGCAAUUUGAAACCAGAGAUUUAGACCAUUAACUAAUGUUUACAAUGUUUACUAAGGGAAUAAAUCAAUGGAGAAGUAAAGCUAUUCUCUCAUAGACUUCUAUAGGACCAGAGGAGUCGCCCCCUGCUGGCCAGUAAAUAGAAUGCAAGUUUAAGACACUUCACUCUUAAUAAUUGGAGGUGCCCCCCCUGGUACUAUUUCACACUAUCUCAGUUGCUCUGAGCGUGUAAUGAAAACACGCCUGUGCGUUGGAGUUAAUUAACAAUGCAUUUGGAUUUGGUCGUGCAUGUAGACUUUUCAGCCUUCAGUUAUAAAUAAAUAAUAAAUUCCAUCCUGUCUUAUUUCUUCUUCCAUUAUUUUACUGCUCUGGAUACAAAGUCCUUCAAAAUAUAUAAGGAGUCCAUUCAGUGUUAAUUGCUGUGCAAUGUUUCUCAGUAAAACUAAAACAUGCAAUAACUAAUCUGUUAGUGUAACGUUUCAUCUGGCACCAUCAUUAGGUCGACAUUUUAGUUUUUCUAAUACUUUUGAUUUGGCUAAAUACCAAGAAGCGUAUUUUUCCAGUCAGAAUGCAUUUAGCCCUAUUUGAUUACUCCUGGUAUGCUGGCAAAGAAAGCUAAGAUAUUAAACACAAACAGUUGACCCGUUCAGACAGACUGCCGGGGACGCCCAUCACCUCCGUUCUGGCACUGAGGCUUUAUUACAUUUGACGAGGGCUGAUCCACAAUAAUCCAUUUCGGUAACAAAGAACGUCAUUCAGCAGCAACAAGGCAUCAGUAACAGAUAACGCUCUUACAAACAAAGGCCCCGUUUAGAGUAGUGAAAUUAUCUUCACACAAUCAGACACGACAAAAAGACAUUCUUAUUUCAUUGCUCAGAUCAGAUAAAAGAUUUUUCCAUGUGUGUAAUUCUGUGGCUUUAAUACUCCUCCAACCUCAGAGGUUUAGCCUCAAAGCAAGCGCAACAAAGCAGUGUUUGCAUUGUAGAAAUUUGAAAUAUGACUUAGGACAUAAAAACACUGACUUGACCUCAGUGAGAAGUUAAUUUGUGGGAAAAGAGAAGAGAAACUUUAGAAAGUCCGGAUCCUAAAAGAGAAAAUGACUUUUGAAAAGAAAAACAAACUGGUCACUUCCAGCUUGGAAUCAUUUGGCCGAAAAUGAUCUGACAUGCAAGUCAAGGGACUGACCAACCAGGGUCAAACAUUUAGAUGACAUGGCUAAAAGGAGCAUCCUGUUUCUCCCCCAUAAAUAACGAGGCCAUUACCUUCAUUUAUUUGGCGGUUGGUGGUUGUAAGCCUCUUGAUAUGCAUGCAGUCGUAUUGAUGGAAGGUAAGUUCAUUAUAGAUUUGGUCUCAAUCCUUGUCGAUGAUUUAAAAUGUAGAUUUUUCGCAUAAAUGUCACAUCUUACUGGACUCAACACAUGUGAAUAAAAAAUGUACGCAAGUACGAGUAAGCUAAAAUAAUUACUCUCAGCCUUCUUCUGAAUAAUGAGUUUAAACAUUUUUUAAAAGCUUCAACAUUUUUAAAUAUGUCUCUUCAGCAGGACAAUCUGAACAUUAUUAGAAUGGAUGCGAUGGAAAUUGAUGACAGCAUUUAUAUAAAAAAGAACUUCGCAAUGGACGGCCUCGGUAGUCAAGGUACAAUAUCACCCUGAAUUAAAAUGGACGAAUGUCCACAGCCAAGUGCUACUAAAGUGUUUAACAAUCAAGAUUUUCAAAAAUAAUGUUUUUCAUGUAAAUUCCAUUUUUGCUUUGUAUUAACAAACAUUUAGAAAUUUGGAUUUCCAAAAAUCCAUAAGGAGGAAUUUACACUUAACUGCUUUCUUACUUUGGAUUUAGUUGUUUUUCCGAGGAGAAAGCAGCCCUUUCGAUGUGCUACCGUGUGUCUGGGGUUACUGAGUGCUGUCCUGUUGGCUGGUAACAUAGCGCAGUUUGUCUACUGUAAGUAAAUCUAUUGUUGUCACGCAAAGUACGAAUGAUGUGGAAUGCAAACCAUGUGAGAGGAAUGAGCUUUUCAAAAUCUAAUGACCUAAGCAAUUAUUAAAAAUGUCUUUUGCAUCUCUCAGAUGAGAUAAUCAGCCGCCCCGCUUCAGCAGAGCCGACACAGGCCAGCGGCCGGUUUCAA
ensembl:lncRNA